rnacentral:lncRNA from 1 species
AUCCAGGGGGCCCACGAGGUAGGGGGCGCACCGCCCACCCUCGUGAGAAGGAUGUGGGCCCCCUGGUCUUCAUCUUUGGCGAUGGUUUUUUAUUAUUUUUUCUAAGAUGUUCCGUGGAGUUUCAGGUCAUUCCGAGUAUAUUUGUUUUCUGCACAUAAAACAACACCAUGGCAAUUCUGCUGAGAACAGCGUCAGUCCGGGUUAGUUCCAUUCAAAUCAUACAAGUUAGAGUCCAGAACAAGGGCAAAAGUGUUUGGAAAAGUAGAUACGACAGAGACGUAUCAACUCCCCCAAGCUUAAACCCUUGCUUGUCCUCAAGCAAUUCAGUUGAAAAACUGAAAGAAAGAAAAGAACUUUUACAAACUCUGUUUGCUCUUGUUGUUGUAACUAUGUCAAGCCAGCAUUCAAGUUUUCAGCAUAAAUCAUAACUAACCACAUUUGCAAUAAUUCUCAGGUCUCAUAAUUACUCAUAUCAAUAGCAUAAUCAACUAGCAAGUCAUAAUAAUAAAUCUCGGAUGACAACACUUUCUCGAAACAAUCAUAAUAUGAUAUAACAAGAUGGUAUCUCGCUAGCCCUUUCUGAGACCGCAAAACAUAAAUGCAGAGCACCUUUAAAGAUCAAGGACUGACUAGACAUUGUAAUUCAUGGUAAGAGAGAUCCAAUCAUAGUCGUACCCAAUAUAAAUUAAUAGUGAUGAAUGCAAAUGACGGCUGUGCUCUCCAGCUAGUGCUUUUUAAUAAGAGGGUGAUGACUCAACAUAAAAGUAAAUGGAUAGGCCCUUCGCAGAGGGAAUCAGGGAUUUGUAGAGGUGCCAGAGCUCGGUUUUGAAAUAGAGAUAAAUUGUAUUUUGAGCUGUAUACUUUCAUUGUCAACGUAACAACUAAGAGAUGGCGAUAUAAUCCAUCAUGAGUAGGAUAUAAUCCACCAUGAACAUAAAUAUCGUGAAGGCUAUGUUGAUUUUGUUUCAACUACAUGCGUGAACAUGUGCCAAGUCAAGUCACUUAAAUCAUUCAAAGGAGGAUACCACCCCAUCAUACCACAUCAUAAUCAUCUCAAUAGCAUGUUGACACACAAGGUAAAUCAUUAUAACUCAUAGCUAAUCAAGCAUGGCACAAGCAACUAUGAUCUCUAAUUGUCAUUACAAAUAUGUUUAUUCAUAAUAAGCUGAAUUAAGAACGAGGGACUCAUCAUAUUUACAAAAGCAAAAGAGGUUGAGUUCAUACCAGCUUUUCUCAUCUCAGUCAGGCCAUCAUAUAUCAUCAUAAUUUCCUUUCACUUGCACGACCGAACGGUGUGAAUAAUAACAAGAGUGUACGUGCAUUGGACUAAGCUGGAAUCUGCGAGCAUUCAAUAAACAGGAGAAGACAAGGCAAUAUGGGCUCUUGGUUAAAUCAACAAUAAUGCAUAUAAGAGCCACUUCAACAACUUAAUUAUGGUCUUCUCCUACUGACCCCCAAAGAAAAGAAAAGAAAUAAAACUAUUUAUACAGGAAAGCUCCUAACAAGCAAAAAGAAGAACGGGAAAUAUUUUUGGGUUUUCUUUUUAAUUAUUACUACCACAACAGAAAAAUAAACUACUACUAAUUUUUUUUUUCUUAAGGUUUAACAAACACACAAGAAGAAAGCAGGAAAAAAAAAUAAACUAGCAUGGAUAUUACAGAGAAAAAGUAUGAGCACCGACAUCUAGUAAUGAGUGUGUGUGAACAUAAAUGUAAUGUCGGUGAGAAAUACGUACUCCCCCAAGCUUAGGCUUUUGGUCUAAGUUGGUCUAUGGCCACGGCUGGCCUAGCGGAUAUCCAUAAUAAUAGUUGUUGGGGUCGUACUGUGACGAGGAAGAAGAAGGUUCUGAUUGCUACUGGCUGGCAAUCAUCUCCGGAUCCCACUGAUAGUUAGACUGCCGUGAAGGAUCAAAUUGUGGUUCUGGUUCUGGCUCCUCGGCUGGUGCAGGGUUCCGGUAGGCGUGAAUAACCGUCAACGGAACAAGGUACGUGCCUACAGUCAAAUCAAACAAAGGAGCAGGCAGGAUAAUAGUCUCAGGAUGAUGUUUGUUAAAGAACAAUUGAUAUUUAAGCUCUCCUGCCCUAUUCUUAACAAUAAAAUCGUGUGCCACCAUACUUUUAUGAUCUAUAUAAACACGGGGCAACACCUUUUCUUCCUUCUCAGCAUGCCUAAUAGGUAUGUUAAAAUGUGUGGCUAGGCGUGUAGCAUAGAUGCCUCCAAAGAUGGGACCCUUAGUACGGUUCAUACUUAAUCGUCUAGCAAUAAUACCGCCCAUACUAAAAGUGUUAUCACUGUAUAAACCGUGGUGCAGAAUAAUUAUAUCGGGGAUACUAAGGUUUCCACAGUUUCUGCGUCCAAUUAAACAACGACUAGCAAAUAAAGCAAAAUAGCGUAACACAGGAAAAUAUAUGCUAGUGAUUCGUGCAUCGGAAACCUUCCUAGUUUCUCCUAUAGUGAUAGUAUCAAUAAACCCAGCCACAUCAUCAUGAUGUGGUUCUUCUGUCUUGCCCUCAAAAGGGACUAAACAAAUUCGACAGAAAUCAUAAAGUGACAUCUCCUUAUGCUCAUCAUAUAAAUGAAACUCCACCGUGGGUGGUGAGUUCCUAGAAUGAAAAUGAAAGUUUUGCACAAAAGUAUUUGUGAGUACGAGAUACUGAUCGCAUUGGUCAUGGAGGAAAGCGGCGAGGCCUGCAUUGUGAGCCAAUUCAUGAAAAUCUUCAUAGAUACCGGCUGCUCUCAAGAAAUCAUCAGAAGGCCAUUUACACGCCCGAAGGCAAAUUAUACUUAGCCUUCGGUGCCUUUUCUUUUGAGCUUUGGCUCGAUGAGCCCCUCAAAAAUCUCCUCAUUAUUUUUCUGAAAUAAUCUGAAAUUUUUAGUAACUUCAAACAAAAGUCAACCAAACUCAAUAAUAUUGAUAGCAACUACUCCUACAAGUGCCUAGUGCCUAUAUCAAGCAUUAGAACUACUUGGAACCAUAUAAAUUUGACAUGCAAGCUCAAGAACAUGGUCACCUAUGCAGCACAAAUUUGCAAAUAAUAAAGAACUAGAACAAAAGCUAAUUGGACCAAUGGAGGAGUCACAUACCAAGGAACAAUCUCCCCAAGCAGUUUUGCGAGAGGUGCUUUGAGCAAGGAGAUCGAAAAUCACAGCAAAAGUGGCUGGAACUCGUGCUUGAGUUCGUUUUUCGGGUUUGUGUGAGACAGAGGAAGAAGAUGGGUGCUGGGAUAAGUGGAGGAGGGCCACCGUGGGCCCACGAGGCAGGGGGGCGCGCCCACCACCCUCGUGGCCAGGUGGGAGCUCCUCCCGCGGUAAUUUUUGCACAGUAAAUCCUCAAAUAUUCCCGAAAAAAUCAUAUUAAAUUGGCAUGUCAUUCUGAGGAUUUUUAUUUUCGGGAUAUUUUUAUAUUGCACGGAUAAGUCAAGAAACAGACAGAAAAAUACUAUUCUUACUUUAUUUAAUAUAAAUAACAAAAAGUAAAAGUGGGGUACAGAAGGUUGUGCUUCUAGUUUCAUCCAUCUCAUGCUCAUAAAAAAGAAUCCACUAACAAGGUUGAUCAAGUCUUGUUAACAAACUCAUUCCGAUAAUCAUAAAACCGGAGAAAUUUCGAAUAACACUAAGUUACCUCAACAGGGAUAUGCACAUCCCCAAUAAUAAGAAUAUCAUAUUUCCUCUUGACAGUAGGAAGAGGAAAUUCAAAACCUCCAAUUGUAAUCGAUGAAAUUUUUCCAAUGGAGUUGAUACUAUGAACUUGAGGUUGUUUCCUCGGAAAGUGUACCGUAUGCUCAUUACCAUUAACAUGAAAAGUGACAUUGCCUUUGUUACAAUGAAUAACAGCCCCUGCAGUAUUAAGAAAAGGUCUUCCAAGAAUAAUAGACAUACUAUCAUCCUCGGGAAUAUCAAGAAUAACAAAGUCCGUUAAAAUAGUAACGUUUGCGACCACAACAGGCACAUCCUCACAAAUACCGACAGGUAUAGCAGUUGAUUUAUUAGCCAUUUGCAAAGAUAUUUCAGUAGGUGUCAACUUAUUCAAGUCAAAUCUACGAUAUAAAGAGAGAGGCAUAACACUAACACCGGCUCCAAGAUCACAUAAAGCAGUUUUAAUAUAAUUUCUUUCAAUGGAGCAAGGUAUAGUAGGUACUCCGGGAUCUCCAAGUUUCUUUGGUAUUCCACCCUUAAAAGUAUAAUUAACAAGCAUGGUGGAAAUCUCAGCUUCCGGUAUCUUUCUUUUAUUAGUAAUGAUAUCCUUCAUAUAUUUAGCAUAAGGAUUUGUUUUAAGCACAUCAGUUAAUCACAUACGCAAAAAGAUAGGCCUAAUCAUUUCAGCAAAGCGCUCAAAAUCCUCAUCAUCCUUUUUCUUGGAUGAUUUCGGAGGAAAAGGCAUGGGUUUCUGAACCCAAGGUUCCCUUUCUUUACCAUGUUUCCUAGCAACAAAGUCUCUUUUAUCAUAACGUUGAUUCUUUGAUUGUGGGUUAUCAAGAUCAACAACAUGUUCAACUUCUACAUCAUUAUCAUUACUAGGUUGAGCAUCAUCAUUAAUAUUUUCACUAGGUUCAUGUUCAUUACCAGAUUGUGUUUCAGCAUCAGACAUAGAAAUAUCAUUUGGAUUAUCAGGUGGUUCAGCAAUAGGUUCACUAGAAGUUUACACAGUUCUAUCAUUUUUCUUCUUCUUCUUUUUAGAAGAACUAGGAACAUCAAUAUUAUUUCUUUGAGAAUCUUGCUCGAUUCUCUUAGGGUGGCCUUCAGGAUACAAAGGUUCCUGAGUCAUUCUACCAGUUCUAGUAGCCACUCUAACAGCAUAAUCAUUUUUCUUACUAUUUAUUUCAUCAAGCACUUCUUUUUGAGCCUUAAGUACUUGUUCUACUUGAGUGGUAACCAUAGAAGCAUGUUUGCUAACAAGUUUAAUUUCACCUUUAAUAUUAGCCAUAUAAUCACCCAAGCGUCUAAUCAUAUAAGCAUUUUCUUUUAAUUGUCUACCAAAAUAAGCAUUGAAGUCGUCUUGCUUAAACAUAAAGUUAUCAAACUCAUCCAAGCACUGACUAUCAAUUUUAGUAGGAGGGACUUCAGCUUUAUCAUAUCUAUAGAGAGAAUUUACCUUUACUACCUGUGUCGGGAUAUCGGGAUCAGGAGGUUCUUCAAUAAAUAAAGAAUUAAGAUCAUAUGUUUCUUCAACAGGUGGUGAAUUAAGACCAUGUAUUUCUUCAAUAGGAGGUAAAUUCUUAAUGUCUUCAGCUUUAAUACCUUUUUCUUUUAUAGAUUUCUUUGCCUCUUGCAUAUCUUCGGGACUGAGGAAUAGAACACCUCUCUUCUUCGGAGUUGGUUUAAGAAUAGGCUCAGUAAUUGGAGCAGGAGUUGGCUCAGGAGAUGGCUCAGGAGGUGCCCAAUUAUUUUCAUUUGUCAACAUAUUAUUCAAUAAAAUUUCAGCUUCAUCCGGUGUUCUUUCCCUGAAAAGAGAACUAGCACAACUAUCCAGGUAAUCUCUGGAAGCAUCGGUUAGUCCAUUAUAAAAGAUAUCAAGUAUUUCGGGUUUCUUAAGAGGAUGAUCAGGCAAAGCAUUAAGUAACUUGAGAAGCCUCCCCCAAGCUUGUGGGAGACUCGCUUCUUUAAUUUGUACGAAGUUGUAUAUUUCCCUCAAAGCAGCUUGUUUCUUAUGAGCAGGGAAAUAUUUAGCAGAGAAGUAAUAAAUCAUAUCCUGGGGACUAUGCACACAACCAGGAUCAAGAGAAUUAAACCAUAUCUUAGUAUCACCCUUUAAUGAGAAAGGAAAUAUUUUGAGUAUAUAAAAGUAACGCGAUCUCUCAUCAUUAGUGAACAGGGCAGCUAUAUCAUUUAACUUAGUAAGAUGUGCCACAACAGUUUCAGAUUCAUAGCCAUAAAACGGAUCAGAUUCAACCAAAGUAAUUAUAUUAGGAUCAACAGAGAAUUCAUAAUCCUUAUUAGGAACACAAAUAGGUGAAGUAGAAAAAGCAGGGUCGGGUUUCAUUUUAUCUCUAAGUGAUUCUUUGUUCCAUUUAACUAAUAACAUCUUAAGCUCAUAUCUAUCUCUACAAGCUAAAAUAGCGGCAGAAGAUUCCAUAUCAAAAAGAUAACCCUCAGGAAUAAUAGACAUAUUUUCAUCAUCAGUAUCAUCAUCGUAUUCAGAUUCAAUAAUUUCUUUUUCUCUAGCCCUAGCAAUUUGUUCAUCAAGAAAUUCACCAAGGGGCAUAGUAAUAUCAGGCAUAGAAGCAGUUUCAUCAUAAGUAUCAUGCAUAGCAGAAGUGGCAUCAUCAAUAACAUGCGACAUAUUAGAACGAAUAGCAGAAGCUGGUGUAGGUGUCGCAAACUUACUCAUAACAGAAGGUGAAUCAAGUGCAGAGCUAGAUGGCAGUUCCUUACCUCCCCUCGUAGUUGAGGGAUAGAUCUUGGUUUUUGGAUCUCUCAAGUUCUUCAUAGUGUCCAGCAGAUAUAAAUCCCAAGUGACUCAAAGAAUAGAGCUAUGCUCCCUGGCAACGGCGCCAAAAAUUAGUCUUGAUAACCCACAAGUAUAUGGGAUCGCAACAGCUUUCGAAGGUAGAGUAUUCAACCCAAAUUUAUUGAUUCGACACAAGGGGAGGCAAAGAAUAUUCUCAAGUAUUAGCAGCUGAGUUGUCAAUUCAACCACACCUGGAAACUUAGUAUCUGCAGCAAAGUGUUUAGUAGCAAAGUAAUAUGAUAGUGGUAGUAGCGGCAACAAAAGUAAAGACAGCAAAAGUAAUGUUUUUGGUAUUUUGUAGUGAUUGUAAUAGUAGCAGCGGGAAAGUAAAUAAGCGAGAACCAGUAUAUGGAAAACUCGUAGGCACCAGAUCAGUGAUGGAUAAUUAUGCCGGAUGCGGUUCAUCAUGUAACAGUCAUAACAUAAGGAGACACAGAACUAGCUCCAAUUCAUCAAUGUAAUGUAGGCAUGUAUUCCGUAUAUAGUCAUACGUGCUUAUGGAAAGGAACUUGCAUGACAUCUUUUGUCAUACCCUCCCGUGGCAGCGGAGUCCUAUUGGAAACUAAGGGAUAUUAAGGCCUCCUUUUAAUAGAGAACCGGAACAAAGCAUUAGCACAUAGUGAAUACAUGAACUCCUCAAACUAUGGUCAUCACCGGGAGUGGUCCCGAUUAUUGUCACUUCGGGGUUGCCGGAUCAUAACACAUAGUAGGUGACUAUAGACUUGCAAGGUAGGAUCAAGAACUCACAUAUAUUCAUGAAAACAUAAUAGGUUCAGAUCUGAAAUCAUGGCACUCAGGCCCUAGUGAUAAGCAUUAAGCAUAGCAAAGUCAUAGCAACAUCAAUCUCAGAACAUAAUGGAUACUAGGGAUCAAAUCCUAACAAAACUAACUCGAUUACAUGAUAAAUCUCAUCCAACCCAUCACCGUCCAGCAAGCCUACGAUGAAAUUACCCACGCAUGGCGGUGAGCAUCAUGAAAUUGGUGAUAGGGGAUGGUUGAUGGUGACGACGGCGACGAAUCCCUCUCUCCGGAGCCCCGAACGGACUCCAGAUCAGCCCUCCCGGGAGGUUUUAGGGCUUGGCGGCGGCUCCGUAUCGUAAAACGUGAUGAUUUCUUCUUUCUAAUUUUUUCUCUCCGAAAGCAAAUAUAUAUAGUUGGAGUUGGCGUCGGAGGGCAUCCAGGAGGCCCACGAGGUAGGGGGCGCGCUCCCCACCCUCGUGAGAAGGAUGUGGGCCCCCUGGUCUUUAUCUUUGGCGAGAAUAUUUUAUUAUUUUUUCUAAGAUGUUCCGUGGAGUUUCAGGUCAUUCCGAGAAUAUUUGUUUUCUGCACAUAAAACAACAUGGCAAUUCUGCUGAAAACAACGUCAGUCCGGGUUAGUUCCAUUUAAAUCAUACAAGUUAGAGUCCAAAAUAAGGGUAAAAAUGUUUAGAAAAGUAGAUACGACGAAGACAUAUCAAACGUCAAGUUGCCUACACAUCCAGAAAUUUCCCAAUGGAGACGAGCAGAAGUGAGGUUAAGAGAGACCACCCGGGGUGGAAAUUUUGUGCUGCAAAGUGACCCCUUUCCAGCUGCAAAAGUUAAGCGAGUCAUCACUCCAUGAAUUUAAGAUGCCAAGGGGAUAAGAAUUGAUGCCGGACUUGAAGCAAAGGAGGGCUUGGCGAUCAAUCUCGGACUUGUUUUCUUGCGCUGCUUCGAGUGGUGUAGUGUUGAAGGAGAAAAGGAUGAGAAAAAUACAGAGCAGAGACAAAAAUGAGGGCAUGAUGUUUAGAGUUUACAGGAUGUGGAAGAACCAGGAAGUUGGGAGAACUUCAGGUUGGAGCUUUGGGUGAUCUUGUGCGUAGCAUGUAGAUGCCAUUUAAAGUAUUUGUCUGCCGAAA